CUUUUGCAAGACCAUAUUGGCGGCCUCCAUGUAUUUCACCAAGAUCACUGGGUUGAUGCCCCUCCAAUUGCUGGAGCUUUUGUAGUUAUCAUCGGUGAUUUACUACAGCAAGUUCCAGAUUUCUGAGCACAGGGUGCAGGCUAAUCACAUCGGUCCAAGAAUAUCAGUUGCGAGCUUCUUCGCAAUCUAUGACUGGAUUUGUGCUCCGUUAAAAGAGCUGAUAUCAGAUGAAAAUCCCCUGCACAGGGAGGUUCCGCUGAAAGACUACACUGUUCAAUACAGGUGGAAAGAACGUGAUGGUGGCAUCCCUACACUUGAUCGUUUCAGGUUGUGAUUUUGAAAAUGAGAACACACUGAAAUUACCCUGUUCAUUUCAUAUGGUCAUCAGAGACCGUUAAAAAUUCAGUAAAUUUUCCUUCUUGGCAACCUGAAGGCUGUCAAAGAACUCUUUUGGCGACGCUAUAAGAUUUGAAUUGUGAUAAUUUAAUCAUCAAGACUUAGUAUUGUUAUCUAAUAAAGCAUCUAAAUUUUUAAUUUCGACAUCAACAAAACCCUGAAAGUACUUAUAUCUGUCGGUGUUGAAAUAAGCAUUGUUGCGACUGCGAACCUGCGCAUAGUAUUUUGUUGUUUAUGUGAAUUGCAAUUACACUCUUGAAGAAAA